UUGGUUGACUGAUGCUGGGAUGAUCUGCAGACCGAACAUGAUUACACUGACAGGUUUCAUGUUUCUACUGACAUCAGCAUUCCUUGGCUUUUUAUAUUCACCCCAUCUAGAUACAACACCCCCCCAGAUGGGUUCACCUUGCUCAUGGACUGCUUCUCUUUCUUUAUCAG